AGAGUUUGAUCCUGGCUCAGGAUGAACGCUAGCUACAGGCUUAACACAUGCAAGUCGAGGGGAAACGAUAUUGGAAGCUUGCUUCCGAUAGGCGUCGACCGGCGCACGGGUGAGUAACGCGUAUCCAACCUGCCCAUCACUUGGGGAUAACCUUGCGAAAGUAAGACUAAUACCCAAUGACGUCUCUAGAAGACAUCUGAAGGAGAUUAAAGAUUUAUCGGUGAUGGAUGGGGAUGCGCCUGAUUAGCUUGUUGGCGGGGUAACGGCCCACCAAGGCAACGAUCAGUAGGGGUUCUGAGAGGAAGGUCCCCCACAUUGGAACUGAGACACGGUCCAAACUCCUACGGGAGGCAGCAGUGAGGAAUAUUGGUCAAUGGGCGAGAGCCUGAACCAGCCGAGUAGCGUGCAGGAAGACGGCCCUAUGGGUUGUAAACUGCUUUUAUAAGGGAAUAAAGUUAGUCUCGUGAGACUUUUUGCAUGUACCUUAUGAAUAAGGACCGGCUAAUUCCGUGCCAGCAGCCGCGGUAAUACGGAAGGUCCGGGCGUUAUCCGGAUUUAUUGGGUUUAAAGGGAGCGUAGGCCGGAGAUUAAGCGUGUUGUGAAAUGUAGACGCUCAACGUCUGCACUGCAGCGCGAACUGGUUUCCUUGAGUACGCACAAAGUGGGCGGAAUUCGUGGUGUAGCGGUGAAAUGCUUAGAUAUCACGAAGAACUCCGAUUGCGAAGGCAGCUCACUGGAGCGCAACUGACGCUGAGGCUCGAAAGUGUGGGUAGCAAACAGGAUUAGAUACCCUGGUAGUCCACACCGUAAACGAUGAUUACUAGGUGUUGGAGGAUUGACCCCUUCAGUGCCGCAGUUAACACAAUAAGUAAUCCACCUGGGGAGUACGACCGCAAGGUUGAAACUCAAAGGAAUUGACGGGGGCCCGCACAAGCAGUGGAGUAUGUGGUUUAAUUCGACGCAACGCGAAGAACCUUACCAAGUCUUGACAUCCUGUGACAGACGUAGAAAUACGUUCUUCCUUCGGGACACAGAGACAGGUGGUGCAUGGUUGUCGUCAGCUCGUGUCGUGAGAUGUUGGGUUAAGUCCCGCAACGAGCGCAACCCUUAUGGUCAGUUACUACGCAAGAGGACUCUGGCCAGACUGCCGUUGACAAAACGGAGGAAGGUGGGGAUGACGUCAAAUCAUCAUGCCCUUUAUGACUUGGGCUACACACGUACUACAAUGGCGUUAAACAAAGAGAAGCAAGACCGCGAGGUGGAGCAAAACUCAGAAACAACGUCCCAGUUCGGACCGCAGGCUGCAACUCGCCUGCACGAAGUCGGAAUUGCUAGUAAUCGUGGAUCAGCAUGCCACGGUGAAUACGUUCCCGGGCCUUGUACACACCGCCCGUCACACCAUGAGAGCCGGGGGGACCCGAAGUCGGUAGUCUAACCGCAAGGAGGACGCCGCCGAAGGUAAAACUGGUGAUUGGGGUGAAGUCGUAACAAGGUA
rnacentral:rRNA from 1 species